AUGUUUUUGGGGGUGGAGAUAUAGGAUAUGCGAUGACCCUUUUGAGCUAAGAAUUUGGAAACCUCGAGAAAUGGCAUAAUGUGACCAUAAGCUAGCCAUGGGAACAUUGCUAUGUGAAGCUUUUCUUUUCUGUCCAUGGCGUUUCGUGAGUGCAGAUGUUUCGGGGAAAAUAGAAAGAGAAUGAGGACUUGGGGGCUUUGGUUCCUUCAGUAAAACUGACAAUGCUUUCUUGAUUUAAAUCAAAGUAUCUCUAUAAAAUAGUCUUUUUUUGCUGAAAAUCAUUAACAUGAUAAUAAUAAUAAUUCAUAAAUCCCAUUAAAAAUCUUAGUUUAUAAUAAAAAAUUCAAUCAUUUCGUUGCGGUGUCAUCAUCUCCAGAAAACUAUUGUAUGCGACGGGCCAGAUUCUCUGCUUUAAAUUAUUUGUCAUCAUUUCUUUUUAAGUCAAAGUUUGAAUAACUCCAAAGUAAUUAGGUGCAUGCAAGUAGCAAAGACUAAAUUUGCUGCCGAUUAAGUUUGAAUAUUCAUAAAACAUUUCAAACUUUCUUGUAGAAGCUUAAAAGUCUAAAAUUUGAAAAGUAACCCUUUAUGUCCCUAAAUUGAGGCCAAAAUGCCACUCUUCUUGUUUUUAAUAACAUGCUAAAUGGAGUAAAGUAGUAUAACAUGCUAAAUGGAGUAAAGUAGUAUAGAGUAACUCAACUGAACAAAUUUUCUUUUUUCAUUUUAUCAUAUAUAGAUACAAAAAUAUUUGGUUAAAAUACUUGAAAAAUCUCUGUAUUUAUGCAUUUUAUUCAAUUUAAUCUCUGUACUCAAAAUUAUAACAUUUUAAUUCUUUAAUUUUGAGCAUUGUUUCAAUUAAGUCUCUCUCUCUAACAAUAUCUAAUUUUGUCAUUAAAAGGAUGACGUCAACACUGACAUCAGCGCUGACAUGAUAUAUUUUGAUGAUGUGGCACUCAAUAAUGAUGUGGAAUGCCACAUGGCACUUAUGUGAUUAUGUGGUACUACCAUGUGACACUACUAUGAUGACAUGACAAUGCUGAUGUGGCACUGACAUGCUGACAUGUCAGUGUCACGUGGCAAAUCAAAAACUUUUUAAAAAAACUUUUUCGUGUCAUGUCAUAGGGAUUAAAUUUAAUAAAAAUAUAUAAUGUAAGGAUUAAAUUGAAUAAAAUUGAGAUGUUGAGAGACUACAUUGAAAAAAAAAUUUGAAAAAUGUAAAUCUUUAAGUAGAUAAUUAAUAAGCCAAAUAUUUAAGUGCAAAACAUUUAUGGUGUUAGAAAAUAUAUAUAAAUAUUAUCUUACUUGAUUAUUUGAUUUUAGAAUAUAUACAUUAAUUUAUUUUAUUACAAAAAUUAAGUUUAAAUUCUCCUUUUAUAAAACAAUUUCAAAAAAUAUUUCAUACCUAAAGUCAAAUUUAGAUAAAUAACUUACAUUGUGUUAGAAUAAAAUUAUAUAAAAAGACUAAGUAAUUUUUUUAUUUUAUUUAUAAUAGUACAAAAUUUCAAAUUUAUUUGACUUAGUUUUAACUUGAAUUGAACUCAAAUUAGCAAAAUAGAUUGAUUUAGUUUUCUUUUAAAAUAAUGAAGAAGGGAGAUAUGAAGUUAACGAUGAUUAUAAAUAUAAUUUUUGGUUCUGACUUGCUUAAUUUGGAUAUUACAAACUUCUUAUUACAACAUAUAAUAUGAGUUACUCCACUCCUUCAAUUUUUUAUUUAUUUUUUAUGUUUUUAUUUUAUUCAAUAUUUCAUAUUAUAUAUUUUAAGUUGAGAUUUUUUGGAUUAAAAACUGCAUUUAUGGUUGAUAGCGUUAAAUAUAAUUGUAAAUAUUUGCAUAAUUUUAUUUUGUAUUUACAAAUUUUUUGUAGAUUCAAAUUAAUAAUUUAAAUUUAAAUUUAGCAGAAUUUGAUUGUGGUAUUCGAAGUUAAAUAAAAUUGUUUUAUAAGAAGUUCUGAGUAAAUUUAAAUAAAAGAUAAAUUGGGUAAAGGCUGAAUAAUUCCAAAAGAAUAGUUUUUUGUAAAUUGUGAAAAUUGUAAGUAAAUUAAUUUAUUUUAUUAAUUUGAAUUCAGCUUAAGUUAAAAAUUAAGUUAAAUAAAUUUCAAACUUUUAUACUAUUAUAAAUAGAAGAAAAAAGAAUUUAUUUAGUUAUUUUAUAUUAUUUUAUUUAGCAUAAUGUAAAUUAUUUAUCUAAAUUUGACUUUAGGUAUGAAAUUUUUUUCGAAAUUUUUUUAUAAAAAGAGAAUUUAAACUUAAUUUUUGUAAAAAAGAUAAAUUAAAGUAUAUAUUUUAGAAUCAAAUAAUCGAGUAAGAAAAUAUUUAUAUAUAUUUUUUAACAUCAUAAAUAUUUUAUAGUUAAAUAUUCAGCUUACUAAUCAUCUACCUAAAGAUUUACAUUUUUUAAUUUUUUGUUCAAUUUAGUCUCUCAACAUCUCAAUGUUAUUCAAUUUAGUUUCUAUAUUAUAUAUUUUUAUUCAAUUUAAUCCCUAUGACGUGGCAAAAAAAAAUUUUUUUGAAAAAUUUUUAAUCUGCAACGUGACAUUGACAUGCUGACGUGCUAGUGCCACAUCAGCAUUGCCAUGUCAUUAUAAUAAUGCCACAUGACAUUGCCAUGCCAUCAUGUCGGUGUCACAUGGCAUGCCACAUCAUCAUGUAGGUGUCACGUUAUCAAAAUGUACCACGUUAGUGCUAAUGUCAAUACUAACGUCAUCCGUUUAACGGAAAAAUUUGAUACCGUUAAAGGAAAUGACUAAAUUAAAAUAAUUUUUAAAAUUAAGAGAUUAAAAUAUUACGAUUUUAAGUAUAAAGACCAAAUUAAACAAAAUGCAUGGAUGUAAGGACUUAUCAAGUAUUUUGAUCAUUAGUUUUUUGUGUACUUCUAAAAUGAGCAACCGCCAAUGUUUUUUUGAGUGGCUUGUUGUGGCAAUUGUACAAAUCUCCUUCAUACAAGCUGGCCCUUUUAUGCUAGUUGAAGCCUUAAGCCGUCCAGAUCACAGACUUGCUCUCGCGUUCUGAUUGUGUGGUUUAGGGUUUCACUAGUAUUAGACUUUUUUUUAGGGGUUUUAUCCAGAACUCUGCUUGUUUUUGAGAUUAUCCGUGUUGAGAUGCUGCCGAGUGCUCCUUGAGCAGCUGCUCCUUUUGUAAUUGUACAGAAGAGGCUCUUCUCAAGAUAGCUUCUAUGCCAACAGGAGUCUCCAACUCUCAACGUUUAAGACUCCCCAUGGCAUUCCAGCUUAUCAUGAACAAAAACUCAUUUUUCAACCAAAAAAAGAUUUCUUAUGAGAUUUUCUUUGCUAUAGACUUUUUACCUUUCUGUAUUCUAUUCAAAUCGAUUAAAAAAAAGAUUUCGAAAGAUUUCACAAUCAAUCAAUGGUGUUAAGAUAAUUAUACAAAAUUAUUUUCUAAUUAGAUUAAAAUAUGAAAUUUCAUGAAAUAUUCUUUUAUCUUAAUCUGAUAAUUACAUUUGGGUGAGGUGAUAUGGUUGCUCGGAAGUUGAGGUGUUCUAAGGGCCAAUCUGAGCUUCCAGCCAAUCCUAUAAAAUUCAAUUGCCUUUGCGUAUAGCCUCCUGUUUUCUUUGCUUUUGAUCUCGCACGGCUGCUGAGCAGGGUUCUUCUCUUUAGUGUUUCUGAGCUAGAUCUUUUCUAACUGUAAAUUUUUGUAUGUCAUGUCUUUGAAACUCUGUACAGAGGUGAGAGGCUAUUGAACCGCAACUUAUGAACGGGUGCUUCACAAUAGUACAUAUAUGAAGGCCCUCAAACCAGGUCUUUCGUUUAUAACAUCAGCAGUCCUCUCCUUUCAAGGCUAAAGACUGUCAAUGGCAUCCUGGAGGAGGCAAUCAAUGAAAAUCGAUAUGGCUUUUUUUUUUUAAUGUAGCAUUAAUAUUGCUAAGUUUAAAAUUUUAAUUUCAAGUCAAUUUUCUUUAACCUUAUCUUCAAACAUAAAUGUUACUAUUUUAUCAGGAGAUAUACAUGCUUUAAAUCAAUUCUUUCUGUAAUAAGUACUGAUUGUACUGUUUAGCUUUGUCAAUUCACUUAAUCUCCAUGCAUGGAAUUCUGAAGUUAAAAACUAUAUAUUAAAAGUUGUUCGAGCAUUCAGAUUCCUCCCUUGAUUCGGGAACAGUCUACAUGACUUUCUUCCCAAAUUACAACAUGACACUCAAAGGAUCCAACUCUCCUUAUCCAGCACUAUAGCAUAAUGUUAUCAAAAAAGAAGAUGACAAUAGGCACCAAGAAGGUAGACUUGUUCGAUAUGUACCUUCAAGAUGGACAAUAUAGAAUGCAGUCACACAUUAUCUUAGAACUUCAGUCAUUUUAAAAUGAACACCUUACUAAGAUAUGUGAUAUAUUUAUUACCAUUAACAUUUUCCAUCAUGUAUAUAAAUUAAAAACUUAUUGUGUAACAUGUAUUUCACUUGUAAGGAUAAUAAUUAUCAUACAAUAUGAAUUUCAUACAAAAAGCGUUACACAUCUAUGACAAAAGAGAGAACAAUUAAAUGGGAGUAGACAUUACAUUUAUACCACACAGAAUUUUAUUAAUGAAAAAAUAUUUAAUUUAAAAUUAAUUGGUAAUAAAGUAAAAGAAGUAUUUCUUAAUUCUUAUAUUUUUAGGGAACUAAGAUACUCCCAAAUUCAAUAAAAAAAAGGAUUUAAGAUACUCCUCAUUUAAUCUAUAUAUAUGGAUAGUCGCAAGUCAUAUAAUUCUUAAUGAUACAGAUUUUAUGGUGUCCAAAUCAGUUAGUUACAUGUUUGAACAUUAAUUCUAGUUGCCUUUACUUCUCAAAUGUUGAUAUUAUUGGCCUUUCAUAUUCUAAUUUUCUAAAUAUAGUGAUGUACCAAAAGAAAAUGUAAGAAUAUCGUUUUCAAACAAGGAAUGAAAUAAUUUCAAUGAAUCUUCUUUUAUGUUUUUUUAUUAAAUUGCUUAUGUGGAUAUCUAAAACUUAGGUAGAUAGAAUGCAAAUGAUGUUGAUAAAUUCUUCAAUGAAAAUAAUUAAACCAGAAUUAAAUUGAAAAUUGCAAUUUGUUUAUUCAUAUAGAGUUCAAUAAAUAGAUUUACAAAAUAUAAAGAAUCAACCAAAACUUAUCUAUAGAAAAUUCCAUGUCACUUUGUUAAACUUAGUUAAACAAAUUAAAUAUAAAAUUGGAUUAAACCCAUUAGAUUUAAAGGAAUCAAAACAUUUUCUUUAUUAUUGAAAUGAGACCUCAUCAUGAUCCCAUAAUGAUUUUGAAUUUAUAUAAUUUGGCUACAAUCAUCACCGACAACAAUUACUGAUACAAUAUCUUAACGAGAACAAGAUAAAAUUGCCCUUCAUCUUUUUGUGGGAUGGAAAGAUAUUGGACAGAACUUUUUACUCCUAAUUCCAAAUCCAUAUCACCCCAUUUCAUAUGCUAAUUAUUUGAUAAAAUUUUUUUUUUGUUUCACUUUACUUUUUUUAUAACCAAAGUGUCAAUUGAACAAUUUGAGUUCUCCUCUCGUGAAUUCAAAGAACAUUAUAAUAAAUUUGAAGUACAAAGCUUGAAUUGAUCAACACAAUAAAACUCAAAAAACUUAAUUACAACUUUGAGUAAAUUAAGCUCGAGUCCAAAAUUAAGUUUUAAGAUUAAAAAAAUACAAUGACGUUAAAAUUCGUAAUUUUUUUAGGGAACAUACCCAAUGUUUUAAGUGAGACAAAAAGAAUUUUUUUUUUUAACAUUAAGUUAUACUAAAGUAGUAAAGAAAUCAAUAGAGAUAUUUGCUUUUUGUACAAAUAAAAGCUAAAUUUAUUUCAACCUGAAAUUUAUUAAAAUCAUUCAUCUUCUAGCCUUUAAAAAAAAUCAUUCAUCUUCUAAGUUUUAAAGUUUUUAGUUUUUAAACUUGGAGAAGCCUAUGAAAUAGUUUAACCCCUGACUAUAUUUAAUGAUAGUUACAAAGGCAUGGACACGGAUAUGGUGCAACUAUAUAUUAUUAACAAAUCUCAUAGAAAAUAUAAAUACAACAAACCAGCUUUUCAGAAAAAAAAUUGCCACUGUACCAAUUCAUUUGGUGCUACAUUCAAAUUAUUUAUCAUAUUUAACUUCAAAGCUUUUUUUUUUUUUGUUAUUACGUAAAGACUUUAUUGAUAAUACAAAGAACACAUGAGUUGCAGGUGGUAACGAAGUAGAGCCUAGUGAAUGCAGAACAGUAAUCACAGAUGCAUCCACAGCCUCCCCUGCUAGUCAACCCCUGUUAUACUCUUGUCAAAUGCUGAUAAACAACAAUGCAGGCUUCUCUUUCCAAAACAUCCCUAGCAGCCAAUUCCUACCCAAGCCACGGCCCCCAGUAUACAGACGUUUCUUCCACAUAAAUUUACUAGUCCAAACAACGCUACCACCAGAAAAUGGACAACACAUCCAUAGAGAUUUUGGAACACAUAUCGUCGAGCAACACAAUCACCAACAUAAAUAACACAGCCAUAUAUUCACCCAAAUUCGACAAACCUUAUAACUACAAAGUUAUUAAUCGUUGCCGUUGAAAUUAAUCAAUGACACACAUAAAUUCAGAUAUGCUCAGCAACCGCCACCGCCCCCACAAUUCCUCCGCCGCGACCGUCUCCUCCCCCACAACCUCCACCGCCACCGCCCCCCCCAAAAACCACCUGCACCAUCAUUAAGGCGAGGCUUUUCAGAGUUGUCAUCACCACAAGCGAGGAUGACCAUUGAGAUAAUUGAGAGGGAGAAAACAAUCAUGCAAAGCAAGAAUAGGGCACCAGAGACCCUGCUUCCCCUCCCGGGACACUGCCACCAAGAAUUACCAACUCCCUUGUCAUUUUUCUGAUCCUUGUACCUUACUUUAGCUUGCUCUAUAUAGCAUAUAUUUCUUUUUGUGAAAGGCAGCUCUAUAUACCAUACAUACAUACAUACAUAUAUACAUAUAUAUAGAAAAUAAACCAAGGCCUAUUCUUAACAAAUGAGUUUUUUCUUUGCAAUAGACUUUUGGCCUUUCCAGCAUAUUCUAUUCAAACCAACACGUAAGUUUCGUGAACUGUUUUUUUAUCCUAAUCAGAAAGUUAAUUCAAAGCCACCUGACUAAGAAAUAAUGAUCGCAAAAUAUUUGACAAGUCAAUCAGACGAUUAAAUGGAGGCUGAAUUGCUAUGCGGCAUCAAUUAAUAUUGUUAAGUUUAAAAUUGCAAUUUCAAGUCAAUUUUCUUUAAUCUUAUCUUCAAACAGAAAUGUCAAUAUUUUAUGCUUUAAAUCUUAGUAGUGCAUGUGGCAUGCCAUGUCAUAGAAAUAUAUCACAUCAAUGUUGAUGUCAAUACUGACUUUAUUAUUUUAAUGGUAAAAUUGAAUGUCAUUAGAGAGAAAUUAAAUUGAAGCAAUUCUCAAAAUUAAAAAAUUAAAAUGUUACGAUUUUGAGUACAGGAACUAAAUUGAGAAAAAUACAUGGGUAUAGAGACUUCUCAAGUAUUUUCACCAAAAUAUUUUCUUUGUUUUUUAUUUAUAUGUUUGAGUUCACUAAUUUAUUUCAAAAUUAUGAGGUAAUCCCAAACUAAAAAAAAAAAAAAAUCCAUUCAUCUGGUCUUUCAAAAACCGAACCAUUAACUUUAAACAACAAUCCAUUCAUCCAGCUCUUCAAAUACUCUCCAUUAAUCCAACCCAAAAUCAACCUCUUCCACCCAUAAAAGACACCUUGUUUGUCCACAUGUACAUAAGGAUAUCAACGGAUAAGGUACUCAUUAAUUUUGAGAUACCAAAUCUGAAUCCGAUUAAUAAAUAAAAUAUCUAACUUCUAUAAUUACUUAAAUAUUUUUUAAAUUUGUUAUCCUAACUCGAACCUUAAAAUAUACCUAUUGCUCGAUAAUUAUUCAAACACAUUUAAAAACCCAAUUAUGUAAAAAAAUUAUUAAAUUGCUCCUCAUAGGUACUCAAUUACCUAAACUCGAAUCCGUACUCGUAUCUAUAUAUAAUAAUAUUUUUAUCCAUAUUUCAUAUAAUUCACUAAUAAUUAAAUUUAUAAAAAAUACACAAAUAAUAAAAUUUAAAUUUAAAUAAUAAAAAACAAAUAUCUCAAAUAUCAACUUAAACAAUUAAAAACAAAUAUUCAAACAACAACUUAAACAUUACAAUAAUUAACUAUAUGAAUUUAUCCAUGAAAUUUUAAAAAAUAACUAGGUUCCAAAUUAUUCUAAUCUCAUAAUUUUUUUUAGGUAUAUAUUUUAUAAGUUUAAAUACACAAAGGUAUAUAUUAUAAUUAAUAAUUUUAUAAGUUAUAAUUUUUGUAACGUUAACACAAAAUAGAAAGUAAAUAUGUUUAUAUUUAAAGUAUAUAUACUAAAUAUAUAUAAUAGUAAUUAUAUUCCUUAAAAUUAACACAAUAUAUAAAGUAUAUGUAUUAAAAGAUAUUACCAGUUAAUUAAUAAUCAUAGUUUCAUGAAUUAAUUUAAUUAAUAAUAUGAGUUUGUCUUUAAUUACAUGAAAUUAAAAAAAAAAAAAACAUCAUUGAGUACGAGUAUCGAAUACUUAAGGGGUGGUACUUGAACCUUACCAGAACCUUGUACGGAGUGAAAUUGCUACCUGAACUCGAUUAUAGGGUACUCUAACCUUCUAUAACUAAGUCGGGUACCUGCAAGUACCUUGUAACAAGGUACUCGUUGCCAUCCCUACAUGUACAAUUGUUGUUCAAUUUUCUACUCAUGCAAGUGUACGUAUCGUAAAGAUAAUAUAAAUAUGAGUAGAGUGUCAAUCCCACAGAGAAUUGAAUUAAUCUUUAUUAUUAAUUACUAAAAUUAACACACCCUAAUUUUAUCUAAAUAUUUAAAAUUCAAAAGGAAAAUUUAAAUUAAUAAACUAAAAACUAAACUAAAACUAAUCUAAAUUCUAUUAGCAAAUUUACUUCUAAUGAUUAACAGACCUAAAACUAUGAUAUCCCUCAAUAUUUUAUCUAAUUAUUGUCUCUCUUUUUUAACUCAAUUUAAUGGAUUAAGUUGCUAACUUAGAGUCCUAAAUUAUUUACAAGUCUCAGUUGAGUUUCUUAUAAAAAUACAUUUUUCAAUUAAUUUAUUAUAUGUCUAUACAAAUUAAAUUGAAGAAGAUUCAUUAAGUUUGUGCUCUAAUUUUAGCUACGUAUGGCUUAUAGGUGUAUGUCUACCCUAUAUGCAAAUCAAACCAACUAAUCAACUAAGUGUAUUCGAUCAUACGCUAUUUUAUUCAAGGUCUACCUAAAUCUCAUUUGUCAAGGUUUAACUUAGGUUUCCAAUUCAAUCUAAUUGGUGGCCAGUCAACUAGUAGCAUUAAGAAUAGAAUAAAAUAAACAACUUAAAUCCAUCAAAUAUAAAUAAAAGAGAGAUAAAUAAUUCAGACUAUAUAUUGAGUUCAAUCAUAAUCUGAGAUUAAAAAUUUAGUUUCCCAUCAAGUCAUACAUUAUCAUCGAAUAAAAUAUAAACAUUAAAACCAAAAGAAUAAAAGAAAAAAAGAAUAAAAAAAAGAUAGAAAAAAACAAGGACUGAAUUCUUGAUCUCCAAAUCUUCUUGAAUUCUUCAAAUUCCUUCAAUGACUCUGUAACUUGACUCUCAACUGUUAAUCUGAUGUUUUUCUUCUUCUUCUUUAAGUCUUCCGAAAAGUUGUUUUUAUAGGCUUUGGAGUUAGACCAAGUUGGGUGAAGAAAGAAGUCAAUUUCAGCUAGAAUUUCCUUAUCAAACUAUGUAAGUCACAGUUUUACCAAAUUAAUUAACAGAAAUCAUAAUUACUCUAGGACUGCAGUAUAUCAAAUUUGACAAGAUUUUUGACCAUCCCACAGACCGAACUGGAUAAAGUGGUAAACAUGAAAGUUGUAUAUCUUUCUUUUAGCUUUCCAAUGGUCUAAGAAUCACUUCAUUUGAAGCUCUGUAAAGAAAGUUAUGAUCAAAAUACCGAAACAUAUGCAUUAAAAGUCUGCACCUCGAAAUUGCUUUUCUUUUUCCAUUAAAAUUCUUCUUUCAACACAUUACAAAAGCACAAAUAAAUCAAUAGCAACCUAUCUUAAUCAUAUUAACACCAAAUUAAGUAUGAAAUUAACCAAAAUUAGAUUGACUCACCUAAAAUAACUAAUUUAAAGUAAUUAAAUAAAACCUACUAAUUUCUAUGCAUUACUACAAAAACUAAGCCAAAUUAUUAUCAAAAUUAAGCUCAAAUAACUCUAUAUCAUAGAGUUAUCAACAAUCCUCUUCCCAAAUGUCAUAAGACCCUGUUUGGAUUCAACUUUUAAUAUAUUAGAGGUAAAUUCGUGUAUUGUAAAUGACUCGUCCAGUUUAUAUCUUUUCAAGAUACAACUCAUCCAUUAUAUACACCACAACAAUCCUCCUCUAAAGUCCAUUUGACAAAAAUUGAGAAUCUUGAUGGAAGUCUUAUUUAAGCUUCACAAUCCUUUUUGAAAUCGCUUCUUAGUCAAAUGUACAAGUUCCAUUGCAAUUUCAUAGGUUAAAUGCCUAAAUAAGCCCCUAAACUAUGUCAAAAAAAUUAAUUCAGCUCAUAUCAUUUUAUUGCUUUCAAAUAAGUCCCUCUCCCUAACCGUUGACUAACUUUCAUUAGUCAAUAGUACAUGCGGCACUUUUAUACUAUGUGUGACAUUAAAUAUUGUUGAUUAAGAUUUGAGCAAAUGGGUAAAAAAGUAAGCACACAAAUCCUAAUCAAUAAAAUUUAAUGCCACAUCAUCUGCUACGUGCUAGAUGACAUGGUAUAAAAGUGUCAUGUGUAUCGUUAACUAAUGAAAGUUAAUCAAUAGUUAAGGAGAGGGGUUUAUUUAGCCCAUAGAAGUUCAGAAGUUUAUUUGAACGCAAUAAAAGGAUAGGGGCUGAAUUGAUUUUUUUUACAUACUUUAGGAGCUUAUUUGGAUAUUUAGCCAAUUUCAUUUUAUAUGGUCAAAAUACUUGAGAAGUCUCUGUACUAGGGCAUUUGCUUCAAUUUAGUCUUUCUACUAAAAAUCAUAAUAUUUUAGUCUCUUCAUUUCGAGAAUUACUUCAAUUUAGUCCUUCUCACAUUGUUCGUUUAAAUUAACCAUUGCAAUACUGACAUCAGCGCUAACGUAGCACCAGAUGCUAACGUGUCACUACCACGUCAUCACAAAAAGUGACGUGCUGCAUUGAGAGGCAUGUCAAAUGUAAAAGUCUCAUUGAAAUUUCUUUUUAUAUAUAAUAUAAAUGGUCAAAAUACAUAAAAGUCUCUAUAUUAUGGUAUUUUCUUCAAUUUAGUCAUUCUACUCAAAAUCGUAAAAUUUUGGUUCCUUCAUUUUGGGAAUUAUUUCAAUUUAGUCCCUUUCACAUUUUUCAUUUAAAUUAACCAUUACGGUAUUGACAUCAGCGCUAACGUGGCGCUAACGUAGCAUCAGAUGUUGAUGUGGCAUUGCCACGUCAUCAAAAAUGGUAACGUGGUGCAUUAGGAGGUUGAUACGUGGCACUUUUAUUCUUUAAAACAAGAUGUACUCUUACUGAAGUUUGAACCUAAUACCUCUAGUAAGUAUGCCAAAGCCUUUACCACCACACCUAAGCCUUUUUUCAAAGUUAUAACUUGCUUGUAUUUUAUUUCUUCUUUCCUUAAAACUACAUCAUUUUGGGACAUUCUUUUUUAGAGAAAAAGGCUUCAAAGGGUUUUUAUUGCUAGGGUUUUUAAGAGUGUAAAAAUAUUUCAAAACGACGUCGUUUUGAGGAAAGAAAGGAAAAAUAAGAAAGAAAAUGAGAAAAGAAAAGAAGAAACAAAACAAAAGCAAAUUAUACUUAUUAGUAAGGGCUUGGGUGUGGUAGUAAAGGCUUUAGCAUAUUUGCUAGAGGUCUGGGGGUUUGAACCUUAACAAAAGUACAUCUUGUUUUGAAUAAUAAAAAUGCCUCAUGGCAACCUCUUGGUGCUCGACAUGGCAUCUUGGACUCAAAUUAUGAUGUGGCACUACCACGUCAACGUGUCAGGGUAAUGUGGUACUGCCACGUUAGUUCUUGAACUCAAAAUGUGAUGUGGUACUGCCACGUCACCCAUAACAAGUUGACCUGGCAAUGCUACGUUAGCGUUGACGUCCGUACUGUAAUGGUUAAUUUAAAUGAAAAAUGUAAAAGAGACUAAAUUGAAAUAAUUCUCAAAAUAAAGAAACUAAAAUAUUGUAAUUUUGAAUAAAAAGACUAAAUUGAAAAAAAAUAGUUUAAUAUAGGAACUACUUAGAUAUUUUGAGAGGUAUAGAUGUCCCAAUUAGGCAAUAACCUUGAAAUAGAAAAGUCAAUUGUAAAGCUUUGAGAUCUUUUGCUACUCAGGUACUCCCUGCUUGGAGUUCGUCAUUUGCAUGUGAUCUUUCCUUAGGGUCUUGCCACAUCACAUCCCAUUGCGAGCAUCUUUCUUGUAAUACUAAAACUGAACUUUAUCUUCCAUUAGUAAGAGCUUGGGUGUGGUAGUAAAGGUUUUAACACAUUUCUUAGAGGUUUAGGUUUGAACUUCAAUAACAACACAUAUUCUUUUGAAGGAUAAAAAUGUCGCACGAUAACCUUUUGUUGUGCCAUGUGGCAUCUUAGACCCAAAUUAUGACAUGGCACUGCCAUCUCAGUGUGUCAAGGUGACGUGACACUAUCACAUUAGUACUUGAACUCAAAGUGUGACAUGUCAGUGCCACGUCACCCUUAACACGUUGACGUUGCAUUUGGUGCUACGUUAGCGCCAGGUCAGUACCAUGAUGAUAAAUUUAAAUGAAAAUGUGAGAAAAACUAAAUCGAGAAAUUUUUAAAAUAAAAUAACUAAAAUAUUAUAAUUUUAAAUAAAAAAUUAAAUUAAAAAAAUCAUAAUACAAGAACUUUUCAAAUCUAUAAUCUAUAACAUACUUAAAGGGACUUCCUCAUUCUGCCACAUGUAAGCUAGAACAAUGACCAUGUUUUCAAUCUCUCAACCCAUGUGAGUCAAACUUUGUAAAAGAAAAAACAAAAGCCCAUGAGUCAGUCAAACUCAAAUCUCUUUUGGCCACGAGUCAGUGAAGCCACGUUUUUAGACCUCUAUCAGUCAAAUGAUGCCCAGCCUUAAAGAAAAGGUUUCAAAUCUCUGACAUGGCUUAUGAAAUAUGAGUAAUAAAAAAUUACACUCCACCGCAUUGAGGUGGGUACAUUUCUCUAGUAGCAAUAAAAGAAUGGUUUUUUCUUUGGAGACUUGGGCUUGCAAAGUGCAAACUCUUUUGCUCCUUUGAUUAUAGAUUAUAGAAAAACAUACAGACUACAUUACUUGAAAAUAAGAAGAAGAUUCAAGAAAAAAGAAAUUGCCUUAAGUCUAAAGGUUGUAUCAAGCGAAGGGUCAACUUGACAAAUUCUGAUAUGAGGCUUGUAUAAGUAAAAAGAAGCCCCAAUGGUGCUUUUAGAGUUAACCACGUGGAGGGCAGAGAGAGUGAAAGAGAAAAGAUGAUGAAGCAAAAAGAGAGAAAAAGAGGGGUGCAAAGAGGUUAGAGUUAGCCACGUGGAGGGUAGAUAGAAAGAAAGAGAAAAGAUAUUGAAGCAAAGAGAUGGGAUGCAAAGAGGUCCACGCAGAAGGGUCAGACUCUAGUAUUUUUAAAAGUACUGAUGUCUUAAUUAAGCAAUAACCUAGACAUAGAAAAGCCAAUUGUAAAGCUUUGAUAUCUUCUGCUACUCUAGCACUCCCAGAUUGGAGUCGAUCAUUUGCAUGCGGUCCCUUAUUGGUGUCCAACCAUGUCAAAUCCCAUUGCGAGCAUCUUUCUUGUAAUACUAAAAAUGAACUUUAUCUUCCAUCAGGGGUGGCUCAAUAAGUUUAAAGAUCUAAAGCAAAAUAUUCAAAUAAAGCUUUUUUUAUUAAAAUUAAAAAUUUUUAUUUUUCUAGCUUUUUGAGAUGCAAAAUUUUUAAUUAAACUUUUAUAAUUAAGUUCUUCUGAUAUUUCUUUUUCAAUUGAUAAUGUAACCAAUCCAUUUAAUCUUUAUUGAGAUAUUGUUGAUCUUAAAUAAGAUUUUAUUAAUUUUAGUUUCGAAAAACUUUUUUCUCCUGAAGCAACACUAACUGGAGUUAUUAACAUUAUUCUAAAAGUAAUAUAUGCAUUUGGAAAAGAAUCGAGUUUUCUUAUACGAUUAAGUAUGUCAAUUGGACUGUUUUCUUCUUGUAUAAUUUUUAAAAAAUUUUUAACUCUGAAAAUAAAUCUAAACCAUCAAUAUCAGAAUAGUUGUUAUAUUAUAAUUAAUAUGCAAGAUUAAAGCAAUAUUCUUUCAAAUGAGGCUCACAACUUUAUGAAGAUAAUAAAAAAACAGACUUAUUGUAUAUUUUUUGGAGAAAAAUUGAAGCUAAAGGAAGAAAGAGCAAAUGAGAAAGGAAGAUAUCAAAAGUAGAUAUUAUAUAUUGAAAAAAAAAUAGUUUUAUAUAUAGGAAAAAAUAACUGUUGAAAAUCAUUAAAUACAUUGAUUGGAAAUAAGAGAAAUAAAUGAGAAAAAAUAUAACUAUUAAAAAUAAUUAAAUAUAUAUGACUGUUAGUUUAUUAAAAAUAAAAAAAUAUAAUUGAAAAUUAAUAGCAUUCUAGAAAUAAAAAAAUAAUAAAAAAAUUAAANAUUAAAAAUAAAAAAAUAUAAUUGAAAAUUAAUAGCAUUCUAGAAAUAAAAAAAUAAUAAAAAAUUAAAAUUUAUUAGAUACAUAAUUAAAAAAAAUGAAAAAAUAAAUAAUUUUAUUAAUUAAUUUUACUUUAUUUUUUAAUUUUUAUAUAUUUUAAAUAUAAUUAAUUAUAUUAUAAUUAUUAUAACUUUCCAAAUUGAGGGCUAAAGCCCUUGUUUAGGUGGUUUCACUCAAGGGCCGACCUUGUCUUCCAUCAAUUCUACUGUUCUGUUUUCUAUUUUGAACCUUUGAUAUAUUUAUCAUUUAUAUUUCAAAUUUAUUUUUUAUAAUAGCAAUUUUAUAUAAAAAAUUUAAAAAUUGAAUACUAACAAAUAUUAAAUCAAUAUUUUUUUAAAAAACAACUCUCAUGAAUAUAAAGGAAAAAGAUAAAAAGAAUUGAUGUUUUCGUAUUUGCGAUAAUUCAUUGAAAGCCGGUGGGGAUGAGAACGAAGUUGGUGUCGGCGAACUUUUAAACAUGGCAUCUCAUGAGACACUCCGCUUUAACUUUUAUAGGAAAAGUUUUGUACUUAUCAUUAAAAACCAUGAACGUUAUAUAUACACAUAAAAGAAAAUCAUUUGUCAUAAAAUGAAAAUUUGAAUGAAAAAAGGAAUAAAAAAUAAGAUAAGAAAAUUUCUAAAGAUUUUCAUUAAUUAUACAAUAAAGAUGAGGUAUAAGAGGGUACAACAAGCAGAGCUAUGUACUUUCAAGAAGUGGAGGUGGCUUAUUUGUUACGCAUAAUAAUACCCUGAGAAUGAUAACAUUUGGCAUCUUCAGCAGUUUGGAGAAGGAAAAUAUCAUGAUCAUAAGCAUAGACGGUGUCGCCUACCUGUCAAACCUCAGCGUCAGAAGGUGGAAAUUCUUCGAUGGACCGAGUGAACUCGUCCAAGUACUUGUUACUCAGCUCUACACUGCUAAAAAUCUCCUUCACUGCGGAUGCAUUUGCUCUGAGUGGCUCCCCCUCGGGAUCCACCAUGACUCGCUUAAUAGACUCAGCCACCAAGUCACUGGUGAAUGAUCCAUCAAGAUCGUUUCUUUCUAUUUCCAACCCAACCUUUUUGCUGUGCAUCAACCUAGCAACCAACCCAAGAUCCGAACUUGCACCGGGAAAUAAUAUCAAAGGCAGACCAUACCCGAGUGCCUCAAUAACUGAACUCCAACCGCAGUGAGUCAAGAAACCACCAACUGAGGAGUGAGUCAAGACCCUGAGUUGAGGUGCCCAGCCCCGUAAAACCAAGCCCCGACCCGAAACUCGUUCUUCGAACCCGGAUGGGAGUACGUCCUGUACCAACUGUCCUUCAACUAAAGGGCGGUUUCUGACAGCCCAAAUAAAUGGCAGCCCGGAUUUCUCGAUCCCAGAUGCCAACUCAUGCAUGAACUCUUGACUCAAACUCACCUCACUACCCAGUGCAACAUAAAAAACUGUCUUGUCUCGUUUGCUAUCAAGCCAUUUCUUCAUUGCUUCCCAAUUCUCAUUUUCUUUAUCUUCGUUACUAGGCAAUGAUGGCGGCAAUAAUCCAAGCGGAAUAAUAGGUUUCUGGUGAAUCUUACUAAGCACACGAAGCGCGUCAGCUUCGACCUCAUAGCAGCUCCUCAAAGCCAGAAUUUUGCAACUUAAAAGCAAUGUUCCGACCCGUUCAAAAUCGGACACAGAGUCCAUACACUCCUGGUGACCCACCAUUUCAUGGAGCUUAAAAGCUAGGUUGUUAGGAUAAUCCAGCCACACUGGUGCCACCGUGAAGUCUUCUGGUCGUUGUCUACUUCCAUUGAGCAGCUCCGAUGGAGGGCCAAGGAAAGCGAACGUCGAAGCAGAAUAUAUACUGAAGUAAACUAAGUUGAUGCCGCGUUGAGUCGCCACAGGCGGUAACCAGUAAGGAGCAAAAUCGUGGAUAAUCCAUUUGACUUGUGAUGACUUUUUGAGGAACUCAGUCAACUGAGUUUCGAGUUUGUCAUAUGCUUUCUUGAGGUAAGGGACUUGGUGAAUGGGUAAAUCGGAGGUGGACUCAGCUCCUGGUGGCAGGCCAUGAACGUGAGGCAAGGGAAGUUGUAUAAAGCUUAUGUUGGAGCAGAGAUCUGGAGGAAGCUUCGGGAGGCGGCUGAUGUUUUUAGGAGUGGAGAUAUAGUAUAUUUUGUGACCCUUUUGAGCUAGGAACUUGGAGACUUGAAGAAAUGGCAUGAUGUGGCCAUAAGCUAACCAUGGGAACAUUACUAUAUGAAGCUGUUUUUGGCUGCCAUCCAUAACUGGAAAAUCAGACUGCUAUUAAGUAUUUAGAGAUUUUUCUUCUGUUUUUUGGUAUUUCCUUGCAAUUCUCCUAGAGACUAGAGAGACCAUGAAGAUGAACAGCCUAGAGAGAGAGAGAGAGAGAGAGAGUUGCUGGCCCUUCAAUUAUCAUAAAUUAUCGAGAACAGUAGUAUUUUUGUUUGAAAGAAUCUGCUGCAUUAGUAAUUAACUUAAUUUAAGUUGGCUGUUUUCCACCACUUAAUUAUAGGGAGAGGUAGACACUGAUCCUUGGGCCAGUUGAGCACCGUCUACAUGUUUUUUGUCAGUCAAAAUAAAGUGAGUUUUAUUAUUAAUAUUAGAAAAUUGAUACGAUUAUACUAUUCCAAUAUACUUGAGGUAUGCAUACAAUUAGAGAAAUAAGAACAUAUUCAAGAUAAUAUUUCGUCCAAAACUUUCUACCAACAAGUAUUUUAGAACGAUUUAUAUUAAGUAUAGCUGAAAAAAAUAAACAAGAGUCGAAAGUGGCCUCCACAAAAGAACAAAGUGCACAAAUCAGCACAAAAGCAGAAAAACGAAAAUGCCAAACGCAAGGGACAGAGAAUCAACAGCAAAGGUGAAGGAAAAACCAAAAAAAAAACAUUAAAAGGCGGACCAGCAAAGGAAAAACCCAAGAAUCAGAUCACAGAUCAUGAGGGAGAGGACUUCACGAGAUGGUCAGGCAGCACGUUCUCAGAUAGAGGAAAAAAAUAUAUAUAACUAAAAAAUUUAAAAGUGAAAGAAAUUAAAACAUUCGUUCAAUAACUUAAAUUAAUAAUUUUACUCAUCCUAGAAAACACACAACUUUACUCUUCUUAACCUCUUUUUUUUAUCUAUUUUUAAUCAUUUAUAUAUACUAAAUAUAAAAAAGGGAAAUGUAACUUUCCUUGCUCUCCUCGUUUUUCCCCCACCAUUUUCACUUUCCUUCCAAUUAAAUAUUUAGUGUUAAAGCUGGCAUGAUCUUGCUUUUCAAAUGGAAAAACAGAAAAGUUGCCAUGAUCUAACCCAACAAAUAAUUCUUGCCUACCUUGCCCGGCCCUUUUCGACACCGUAGGAGAGGACAAGUUACUCAUAUUUCAUUGGGUCCACGCUGCAUGGCCCAUCUACUGCACCUUAAGGUCAGUUGCUGUCCUUACUCCAUCGAUCCAUCGAUCUAUACAAGCGUAUUUGUGCACCAACGAAAAUUAUUGUACAUGCUAAACUAGAGCAACGAAGCAGAUAAUCACAUGUUAAAUUUGGGAUAUUACAAAUAUUAAUGUUUCCUUUUGUUAUAUUUAUUUAUUUAUUUAUUGUANNNNNNNNNNNNNNNNNNNNNNNNNNNNNNNNNNNNNNNNNNNNNNNNNNNNNNNNNNNNNNNNNNNNNNNNNNNNNNNNNNNNNNNNNNNNNNNNNNNNNNNNNNNNNNNNNNNNNNNNNNNNNNNNNNNNNNNNNNNNNNNNNNNNNNNNNNNNNNNNNNNNNNNNNNUGAGUAUUUAACUUAUUAGUUAAUAUAUAAUCUUUCUACUUAAAAAAAUAUAAUUUAAAUCUUCCUUCUCUCAAUUAUAAAAAAAAAUUACCAAAAAGCUAAAUUGAAAUGCAAGAAUCCCAAUUAUAAAUUGCAGCUAUUAUUGCAUAUAUCUACCAAAUGAUUAAACUUUAGAACAAGUUAAAAACUUGUCAAUGCACCGAUCGAGUGGACUGGUCUAGGUGCUAGCAUUCAACUCUGCAAUCUACAUUGCCCAAAAUCUUACCACCAACCAUGACUCGCCUAAUGGACUGGGCCACCUAUAAAUUGUUUCAAUCUUUAAUAUUCUAUCCCAAGCCCCUUGCCAUGCAACAAACUAGCAACCAACCCAAGAUCAGAAGAAAUUGCUCCAGAAACCCCACAAGACCAAGCCCGCCGCGAAACUCGUUCUUCCGACCCAACAGCCCUUGAACUAAUGGGUAGUUCUUCACCAAUGACCACCCACAUAAAGCGUAACCCGGAUUUGCUCUAGAAGCAUACACAGACUCAUCUCACUGCCUAAUUCUCAACUCUUUACUACAUAGCAAGCCAUGUCUUCAAUGCUUCCCAGUUCUCAUCUCUUUUGCCUUCAUUACUUGGCAUGAGCGGUACAGCAACCCUACUGGUUUCUGGUAAAGUUUAAUUAGUGAGCAAAAUGAAAGGGCUCAUCUUCUAACUCGGAGCAGCUCCUUAAUUAGAGUCGCAAAGUUACAGCUUUUUCAAGUGCUAGCUGUUCCGAAACGAUGAAAAUCGGAUACGUCCGGCUCCAUGCACUCCAUCUCGAUCCAUGUGACUCACUAUUGCAACGAGCUUAAAAGCUACGUUACUCGGAUAAUCUAUCCACUCAGGUACCACUAGUAAACGAAGUCUUUAUUCUACACGUACGCAGCGAGCGGCCACCACGCGAUGGAGAGCCGUCAAAAGCCAGCGUCGAAGCGCUAAAUAUGCCAAUGAAGAUUGAGUUGAUGCCGAGCCGAGUCAAGAUUGUGGGUAAUCCAAUAUAUAGGUAGUGAGGUUUUGACAUUUGAGGAAAUAAACAAUAUAAAUGUUUUUAAGGUACAUAUACAUGAAUAUGUUUAUUAAACUUCAAAUUAAUUAUCUCAUGAGAAAUCAAGAGUUUCUUUUACGUAGCUACAUUUUGAUUUUAAUUCUAUCAUGAUAAUCUUUUUAAAAGUGUACUAAUGAACUUGCUUAAUUUUGUAAUAAUUUAACUAAUAAUUAACUUGAUUUAUAUUACAUUAAUUAUAAAACUUUGUUUCUCUUUUCUUUUUCAAAAACUGAUGAUGUUUUAUAUCUUAUGUACUGAAUUAAUUAUAUAUAGUAAAUCAUUUAAUCAAGAAAAAAAAUAUAUUGAAUAUCACAAAGAGGAUUAAUUUCUACAAAAUUAAUUUACCGUAGCUUAACUUACUGAUCUCCUUUUUAAUUAAACAAGUAAACAAAUACAGCUACGGAUGCCAUCCUACUUACUUAUAUAGCUUAUUGACUCAUGAGAUAUAUAUGAUCCUCUUUUAUUUUAUUUUUAUUAUUUUUCAUAAAUUACAUCAUAUGGUAAGCUAAUUUUGAUCUUAAACUAAAAUUUGACUUAACAGUUAUUACUUCAGUUUAGGAAGGUUAAAAAUUAAGGUUCAAAAUGUAUUAAUUUUGGCUUUCAACUUCUUUACAAAACAAAAAAAAAGAUAUUAAAACUGUUAGUAAUAAUAAUUUUUGUUGCAUAUUUAGACAAGCCAAUUAUGAACACAAUAGUUUAAACUCUUAACUCUAGUCCUUAAAAAAGGAUAAGAGCAACAUAUAUUAUAUAUUCAGAUUUAUAAAAGGAAAAUUGAAAAGGAAGAUCAGGGCUCAGUGUGCAUGGAGAAAAGGCAAUCUCUAAUGGAACAUCAGCAGACCCACAGAUUAGGGAGAGAUUCUUAGCAACUAAUUAACAGUACUAAUUAUGAGAUGUACAUGAAGAAAUAGUAUUUUUUAGGGUUAUUGCUUAUUCAUAUUGCUAAGGUGCUAACUGCUUAGACACUUUAAUUAAAAACAUAUAAAUGAUGUGGAAAACCCAAAUUUUAAAUAGGUUUAAAGGAUUUUUCAAGAUCUGAACACUGAUUUUAACCAAUAGAAGAGUUACUGAUUGGAAAUUGAUUACUUGCACAUCAGACAGAAACCCCAUAAACUAGCAUGUGUCAGCUUUAGUUGUACGGGGUUUGUUGUGGGAUGGAUUUUGUGAUCAAUCUUUCAAGUGAACUUCAAAUUCUAAGCUUCACCUUCCCACCUUUUAAAAUUGACUCUGCAUAAAAGGAAAAAGAGGGGAGAAAAUGAAGGAAAACAAGGAAAGGACACACUCCAUUGAAUGAAGAGUUAGUGAUGUGUGCUUUGCAUGGUUGGAUAUACACAGGAGCCUUGUUAAACCAUGAAGCAGGUCAUACUUAUCGAAAUCAAAGAUUUUGAUUGUCAGGAAUUAUGAAAAUGGAGCAACGAUUUUCUUUUAUUUUGAAAAAAAAAAAAAGAAUUCAAAUCUAACACUUUCUACAAGGUAGAACACUUUAUCUAGCAGUGAUUGAGUAACGGUUUGAACCAAGAAUGACUCUUGUUAUGCUGCAAUGGUCUUUAAAAUAAGAAAAACUCAACUUUCCAAAAUUCUGGAAAAAUAGAAAUUAACCAAUAAGUCAAUGUGCACUUAAAAGUAACAAUUGACAACCUUUAAUUUGGAUUAAUAGCUACAAAAGAUAUAUAGUGGGGGACAGAAAGAGGUGGGGGACAGAAGGAGAGCAAGCGCAUAAAGUUUCAAGCAUGAGGCGCUCAUACAAGAAAGAACCCUUUGUGCUCACUCUCUUCUGUCACGUUCCUGACAGACCUGGUCAAGUAUUCGUUUGCGAUGAUCACCAAUCAAAGCUGAUGGAGGGCCAAGGAAAGUAAAGAGCGUAGCAUUGAAUAUGCUGAAGAAAACUAAGUUGAUGCCGAGCGGAAUAGCAACUCCAGGUAACCAGUGAGGCAUAAAGUCAUGGUUUAUCCAGUUGACAUGUGAGGUUUUGAGGAACUCAGUCAAAGGGACUUCCAGCUUGCAUAUGCCUUUUUAAGGUAAGGAACUUUCUGGAUCGGUAUCUCAGCGGUGGACUCAACUCCUGGUGGUAGGCCAUGAACCUGAGGAAGAGAAAUCUCAAUAAAGCUUAUGUUAGAGGACAGAUGUGUGGGGAGUUUAGGGAGGCGGCUAAUGUUUUUCGGGGUGGAGAUAUAGGAUAUGCGAUGACCCUUUCGAGCUAAGAAUUUGGAAACCUCGAGAAAUGGCAUAAUGUGACCAUAAGCUAGCGAUGGGAACAUUGCUAUGUGAAGCUUUUCUUUUCCGUCCAUGGCGUUUCGUGAGUGCAGAUCAAUCGGGGAAAAUAGAAAGAGAAUGAGGACUUGGGGGCUUUUGUUCCUUCAGUAAUUGAUUUCUUC
rnacentral:lncRNA from 1 species